GGGUUGUGAGGUUAAGCGACUAAGCGUACACGGUGGAUGCCCUGGCAGUCAGAGGCGAUGAAGGACGUGCUAAUCUGCGAAAAGCGCCGGCGAGGUGAUAUGAACCUUUGACCCGGCGAUGUCCGAAUGGGGAAACCCAGUGUGUUCCGACACACUAUCGUUAACUGAAUACAUAGGUUAACGAGGCGAACCGGGGGAACUGAAACAUCUAAGUACCCCGAGGAAAAGAAAUCAACCGAGAUUCCCCCAGUAGCGGCGAGCGAACGGGGAGCAGCCCAGAGUCUGAAUCAGCUUGUGUGUUAGUGGAAGCGUCUGGAAAGUCGCACGGUACAGGGUGAAAGUCCCGUACACGAAAGCACACAGGCUGUGAACUCGAAGAGUAGGGCGGGACACGUGGUAUCCUGUCUGAAUAUGGGGGGACCAUCCUCCAAGGCUAAAUACUCCUGACUGACCGAUAGUGAACCAGUACCGUGAGGGAAAGGCGAAAAGAACCCCGGCGAGGGGAGUGAAAAAGAACCUGAAACCGUGUACGUACAAGCAGUGGGAGCCUCUUUUAUGGGGUGACUGCGUACCUUUUGUAUAAUGGGUCAGCGACUUAUAUUCUGUAGCAAGGUUAACCGUAUAGGGGAGCCGAAGGGAAACCGAGUCUUAACUGGGCGUUAAGUUGCAGGGUAUAGACCCGAAACCCGGUGAUCUAGCCAUGGGCAGGUUGAAGGUUGGGUAACACUAACUGGAGGACCGAACCGACUAAUGUUGAAAAAUUAGCGGAUGACUUGUGGCUGGGGGUGAAAGGCCAAUCAAACCGGGAGAUAGCUGGUUCUCCCCGAAAGCUAUUUAGGUAGCGCCUCGUGAACUCAUCUUCGGGGGUAGAGCACUGUUUCGGCUAGGGGGCCAUCCCGGCUUACCAACCCGAUGCAAACUACGAAUACCGAAGAAUGUUAUCACGGGAGACACACGGCGGGUGCUAACGUCCGUCGUGAAGAGGGAAACAACCCAGACCGCCAGCUAAGGUCCCAAAGUCAUGGUUAAGUGGGAAACGAUGUGGGAAGGCACAGACAGCCAGGAUGUUGGCUUAGAAGCAGCCAUCAUUUAAAGAAAGCGUAAUAGCUCACUGGUCGAGUCGGCCUGCGCGGAAGAUGUAACGGGGCUAAACCAUGCACCGAAGCUGCGGCAGCGACGCUUAUGCGUUGUUGGGUAGGGGAGCGUUCUGUAAGCCGUUGAAGGUGUCCUGUGAGGGGUGCUGGAGGUAUCAGAAGUGCGAAUGCUGACAUAAGUAACGAUAAAGCGGGUGAAAAGCCCGCUCGCCGGAAGACCAAGGGUUCCUGUCCAACGUUAAUCGGGGCAGGGUGAGUCGACCCCUAAGGCGAGGCCGAAAGGCGUAGUCGAUGGGAAACAGGUUAAUAUUCCUGUACUUGGUGUUACUGCGAAGGGGGGACGGAGAAGGCUAUGUUAGCCGGGCGACGGUUGUCCCGGUUUAAGCAUGUAGGCGGAGGUUCCAGGUAAAUCCGGUUCCUUAUUAACGCUGAGGUGUGAUGACGAGGCACUACGGUGCUGAAGUAACAAAUGCCCUGCUUCCAGGAAAAGCCUCUAAGCAUCAGGUAACAUCAAAUCGUACCCCAAACCGACACAGGUGGUCAGGUAGAGAAUACCAAGGCGCUUGAGAGAACUCGGGUGAAGGAACUAGGCAAAAUGGUGCCGUAACUUCGGGAGAAGGCACGCUGAUAUGUAGGUGAAGCCCCUGCGGGUGGAGCUGAAAUCAGUCGAAGAUACCAGCUGGCUGCAACUGUUUAUUAAAAACACAGCACUGUGCAAACACGAAAGUGGACGUAUACGGUGUGACGCCUGCCCGGUGCCGGAAGGUUAAUUGAUGGGGUUAGCGGUAACGCGAAGCUCUUGAUCGAAGCCCCGGUAAACGGCGGCCGUAACUAUAACGGUCCUAAGGUAGCGAAAUUCCUUGUCGGGUAAGUUCCGACCUGCACGAAUGGCGUAAUGAUGGCCAGGCUGUCUCCACCCGAGACUCAGUGAAAUUGAACUCGCUGUGAAGAUGCAGUGUACCCGCGGCAAGACGGAAAGACCCCGUGAACCUUUACUAUAGCUUGACACUGAACACUGGUCCUUGAUGUGUAGGAUAGGUGGGAGGCUUUGAAGCGUGGACGCCAGUCUGCGUGGAGCCAACCUUGAAAUACCACCCUUUAAUGGCUGGUGUUCUAACGUAGACCCGUGAUCCGGGUUGCGGACAGUGUCUGGUGGGUAGUUUGACUGGGGCGGUCUCCUCCCAAAGAGUAACGGAGGAGCACGAAGGUUAGCUAAUCCUGGUCGGACAUCAGGAGGUUAGUGCAAUGGCAUAAGCUAGCUUGACUGCGAGAGUGACGGCUCGAGCAGGUGCGAAAGCAGGUCAUAGUGAUCCGGUGGUUCUGAAUGGAAGGGCCAUCGCUCAACGGAUAAAAGGUACUCCGGGGAUAACAGGCUGAUACCGCCCAAGAGUUCAUAUCGACGGCGGUGUUUGGCACCUCGAUGUCGGCUCAUCACAUCCUGGGGCUGAAGUAGGUCCCAAGGGUAUGGCUGUUCGCCAUUUAAAGUGGUACGCGAGCUGGGUUUAGAACGUCGUGAGACAGUUCGGUCCCUAUCUGCCGUGGGCGCUGGAGAAUUGAGGGGGGCUGCUCCUAGUACGAGAGGACCGGAGUGGACGCAUCACUGGUGUUCGGGUUGUCAUGCCAAUGGCACUGCCCGGUAGCUAAAUGCGGAAGAGAUAAGUGCUGAAAGCAUCUAAGCACGAAACUUGCCCCGAGAUGAGUUCUCCCUGAGACUUUAAGUCUCCUGAAGGAACGUUGAAGACUACGACGUUGAUAGGUCGGGUGUGUAAGCGCAGCGAUGCGUUGAGCUAACCGAUACUAAUGAACCGUGAGGCUUAACCUUACAACGCCGAAG
rnacentral:rRNA from 1 species